UCCUGAGUUGAUAUAAGCAUGUCCGUUUGUCCGUCUGUCUGUUUUUACCAGAGCUCGCAACUAACAGUUGACCGUUUCUUGUAGUCACAAAAAAACUGUUUUUUUGCACACCAGGUGCGCAAAAGGUCACACUAGAACCGUUCACCUGUGUCUCCUGAACGAACGGUCUGUGCUCAACCAAAAACAAAUUUUCCGUGUCCUUUUUGCUCUGGUCAUUCCCUCACCAUUUUGCAACGAGCGAAGAAAAUAAAAGCGUUUGCCUUUGUAUGAGUGUAUGUAUAUGCGAAUGACUUGUAAUUUACAUGUUGCAAACCACACUUGCUUUGGUGGAUUCGGUGCGUUUGGAGUGUUUAAUUCUUGUGUCAAGAUGGGUCGCGAUCAAUGGGUUGUAAGGCUAAAUACUGAAUAAAUAAUAAAUAUAAUGUUAAGAUUUAUUAAAUAUGUUAAAGCUCUUACUAAACGUUAUUAAAACGCUACUGAAGACGAAAGAAAAUUUACGAUUAGUUUUUCGUUUUUUCGCUCAUCUGCUGACACUCAAUGAGUGAGCGUUCAGUUGAAUCGCUCACUCUAGGUUGUUGUUGAGUGAGCAUAAAAACAACCCCUAAACGGACAACAGGUAACCGAAAACAAAAACAAGGAGCAACAAAAAGUUCUGUUCAGAGCGAGAGCACACGAGUAUCGUCUUUUUCGGUUGUGUUAGUGAGCAAACCGAAACACGAAAAACGGUCAACUGUUAUUUGCGAGCUCUGGUU